rnacentral:rRNA from 1 species
GACGAACGCUGGCGGCGUGCCUAAUACAUGCAAGUUGAGCGAUGAAGAUUGGUGCUUGCACCAAUUUGAAGAGCAGCGAACGGGUGAGUAACGCGUGGGGAAUCUGCCUUUGAGCGGGGGACAACAUUUGGAAACGAAUGCUAAUACCGCAUAACAACUUUAAACAUAAGUUUUAAGUUUGAAAGAUGCAAUUGCAUCACUCAAAGAUGAUCCCGCGUUGUAUUAGCUAUUGGUGAGGUAAAGGCUCACCAAGGCGAUGAUACAUAGCCGACCUGAGAGGGUGAUCGGCCACAUUGGGACUGAGACACGGCCCAAACUCCUACGGGAGGCAGCAGUAGGGAAUCUUCGGCAAUGGACGAAAGUCUGACCGAGCAACGCCGCGUGAGUGAAGAAGGUUUUCGGAUCGUAAAACUCUGUUGGUAGAGAAGAACGUUGGUGAGAGUGGAAAGCUCAUCAAGUGACGGUAACUACCCAGAAAGGGACGGCUAACUACGUG